UGCAAAAAAGCCAUGUUUUCACAGAUAUUGGCUUAUGUUGUUUUGAUUAUUAUUCUGCUCUAUGCUACAUAUUUGUUAAUGCCUUUAAACAGUUUGUGAUGCUGGAAAGUGUUAUACAUAGGUUUUUCAGUCAUGUUUUUUAUGUUAGCAGUUUGAAGAUGUAAGUUUGUUAGGUAGGGCAAACCUAAAAGUGUACUCUUGGGCAAAAAGUAUAAAAAAUGUUAUUGGUUACAUUAUCAGGGAUGAUUCCACUAUGUAGUUUAGGGCCGCUUAGCGGCCCUUAAAUCGGUCAGCGGCCCCCAAAAA
rnacentral:lncRNA from 1 species